GGAGUCCGGAAUGACCUUGAAAACCCACUGAAACACUGGGACCUGGGUCCCCACUUCAAAAUCCAUGAUUCUACAAAUCAGAACGUCAGCAUCUGCUAAGAGCCCCCACGAGGAAGAGACAAAGGCUCCUUUGGUGCCAUGAGAGGUGGCAGGCAGAGCAGGGGCAGGGGUGAGGUGUGCCACGUGGGCACUUCUCAGGAGCCAAGCAGGCUGUGCUGUCAAAAGUGGGGGCCACGGAGGAGACGACCGCAUGGGGAGCUGGGAGCUGCCACAACAUUGCUCCAGCAGACACGGGCAGCCCAGGGCACAUGCUCUAGAAAAGCAACUCAAUUCAACCAUUACUGGAUGCCUACGGUGAACCAGCAGCCAAGCUAGACUUUGGGGUCACAAUGAAUCAGACACAGAUCCUGCCUAGAAAGGUUCAAAAUCAAAGCUGGGAGUAGACAGACAUGAAUAGACAAUUGGAAAGUUAGCGACCCCCUCGAAGAUUUCUCUGCAAGGAUGUUCACCUCAGUGUUAUUUAUAGUAGCAAAAAUCUAGAAAGGGA